GGGUUGUGAGGUUAAGCGACUAAGCGUACACGGUGGAUGCCCUGGCAGUCAGAGGCGAUGAAGGGCGUGCUAAUCUGCGAUAAGCGCCGGUAAGGUGAUAUGAACCGUUAUAACCGGCGAUACCCGAAUGGGGAAACCCAGUGUGACUCGUCACACUAUCAUUAACUGAAUCCAUAGGUUAAUGAGGCGAACCGGGGGAACUGAAACAUCUAAGUACCCCGAGGAAAAGAAAUCAACCGAGAUUCCCCCAGUAGCGGCGAGCGAACGGGGAGGAGCCCAGAGCCUGAAUCAGCAUGUGUGUUAGUGGAAGCGUCUGGAAAGGCGCGCGAUACAGGGUGACAGCCCCGUACACAAAAGCGCAUGUGCUGUGAGCUCGAUGAGUAGGGCGGGACACGUGGUAUCCUGUCUGAAUAUGGGGGGACCAUCCUCCAAGGCUAAAUACUCCUGACUGACCGAUAGUGAACCAGUACCGUGAGGGAAAGGCGAAAAGAACCCCGGCGAGGGGAGUGAAAAAGAACCUGAAACCGUGUACGUACAAGCAGUGGGAGCACCCUUCGGGGUGUGACUGCGUACCUUUUGUAUAAUGGGUCAGCGACUUAUAUUCUGUAGCAAGGUUAACCGUAUAGGGGAGCCGGAGGGAAACCGAGUCUUAAUUGGGCGUUAAGUU
rnacentral:rRNA from 1 species